GUGAGGAAUUUUGCGCAAUGGGGGCAACCCUGACGCAGCGACGCCGCGUGGAGGACGAAGUCUUUCGGGAUGUAAACUCCUGUCAGUGGGGACGAUAAUGACGGUACCCACAGAGGAAGCACCGGCUAACUCCGUGCCAGCAGCCGCGGUAAGACGGAGGGUGCAAGCGUUGUUCGGAAUUACUGGGCGUAAAGCGUAUGUAGGCGGCAAGUUAAGUUCAAUGUUAAAGCCCACGGCUCAACCGAAGAGAUGCAUUGAAUACUGGCUAGCUAGAGGGUGUUAGAGGAAGACGGAAUUCCCAGUGUAGCGGUGAAAUGCGUAGAUAUUGGGAGGAACAUCGGUAGCGAAAGCGGUCUUCUGGGACAUACCUGACGCUGAGGUACGAAAGCGUGGGGAGCAAACAGGAUUAGAAACCCGGGUAGUCC
rnacentral:rRNA from 1 species